ensembl:lncRNA
GUGAUAUAUUAUGUGGCAUCACGCUAGACUGUGCAUAAGAAAACUGCAACAGAAUCACUCUUAUGAACAAUUAAUUAAUGCCAAGACAAAGAGAGUAGAAAGGCACUUACCAUGCACGAAAUACUGACAGAAGUAAGAAGUAGAGGAACAAUUUGGUGAACAUGUUUUAGGUGAGAUUGACUCCGUGUUGAAUGUGGUACACUGCACGGAGACUCUUCUAAGAAGAAAAAAAGUGACACAGUUGCAGCCUUUUCUUCCAGGCUCAAUUAAAACAGUGGCGAGUAGUCGAGGUUAUAGUCCAACGGGAACGGUGAGACCUCCUCGGCUAGUGUCCGGUGCUUAAAGUUCUCUUACAUUGGCAGUUAGCGGGAUCAAAUAAAAUAUCUGCUCCUUGAAGUUGCGCUGCUUUCGAUUGCACCACCAGAUACACAUACUGACGUCCACACAGAGGCAGAGCGCAAACUUCCCAAGUGGACACCUUCAAACCCCAAACGCACCCGCUAGUUUCUGCAAAUUACGUUACGUCAUUAAAAAAAAAAGUCUGCCUUCCCAGACGCUUCGGCGGAACUUGAGAUCCUCGUCGGGUACAGCGUCAGAAUGCUUCGAGGAGAGACAUUAAAAAGCGUCUGUUUACAGUAUCGCUAUCAGCUAGGUUUCCCCGUGCAUUCCCCCGUCUGCCAUUGGUCAGCUACACAGAUAGUCCCGCCCCAAACGCACGCUAUUGGAAAUGCAGAUAGGAAGUGCAGCAGAGAUUAAACCACAGUACAUACUGAACCAAAUACAAGGAAGAAUAAAAAGGAGUGCAGCUGACCA